AUUGAACGCUGGCGGCAGGCCUAACACAUGCAAGUCGAGCGGGGUGAUGGUGCUUGCACUAUCACUUAGCGGCGGACGGGUGAGUAAUGCUUAGGAAUCUGCCUAUUAGUGGGGGACAACAUCUCGAAAGGGAUGCUAAUACCGCAUACGUCCUACGGGAGAAAGCAGGGGAUCACUUGUGACCUUGCGCUAAUAGAUGAGCCUAAGUCGGAUUAGCUAGUUGGUGGGGUAAAGGCCUACCAAGGCGACGAUCUGUAGCGGGUCUGAGAGGAUGAUCCGCCAUACGGGGACGGAAACACGGCCCAGACUCCUCCGGGAGGAAGCAGUGGGGAGUGUUGGCCAAUGGGGGGAACCCUGAUCCAGCCAUGCCGCGUGUGUGAAGAAGGCCUUAUGGUUGUAAAGCACUUUAAGCGAGGAGGAGGCUCUUUUGGUUAAUACCCAAGAUGAGUGACGUUACUCGCAGAAUAAGCACCGGCUAACUCUGUGCCAGCCGCCGCCGUAA
rnacentral:rRNA from 1 species